AGGAGACUUGGUUAAGUGCAAGAUGGAACACAGAAGCUAAACCACAGGAGAGUAGAAUCUUAAGAAGGCUGAUUUGAGGCAGAGUACAGUAUGUCCCUACCUUCUGGCUGCAUGAGACCUCCUGACAUAGCGCACAUUCUGCAGCCUUAAGGCCCCCGUGUUUGCUAGAAAUGCGUUGGGACCUGCCUGCAAAGGUCCUGGUAACUGGCCUUCCUCGGGCUCCAAGUCAAAGGGACAGAGUAGUUUCUAGAGCCAGCAAUUCUCUCUGUAUUCUCUCUUCCUCUCUUUCCAACAUGUUGGCUUUUUCAGUGUCUUGGCCCAGGGUUGCUUAUACACUUGAAAGUAGAGCAGCUUGAAGACAGAUUAUUUCGGUUUUCCCUGAAAGCCUUCGAGAGUCAGGGAAAUUUUGCUAGAAGGCUUGAGGUGUAAGAGAGGGAGAGGAGGCUGGGGGCUGGAGUGACUCACCAAGGCUGAGGGGAUGGAGCUUGUGGGUUCUACCAUUGCCACGUGUCUUGUUCUGGGGAGGUGACUUGUCCUCAGAGGGGAAUAGCUGACCCUAAGCAGGUGAGUGCCUCCUCUCCAGUCUCUGGCCUGAGCAAGGCCUGCGGCUUCCAGGUUCUGAGGGUGAGUGUCUAGCUUCUGGUGGAUGGUGCUUUCUGCCAGUGUCGGGGUUGGAGCUUUCUCUGCUCUUACAAUUCCACCCUUCCAUCCACUUCCCGCCUUCAAAACUUGGAUCAACUCUCUUGUCCUCGAUGUCCUCUCUCUGGGUCUCUUUGUCUUCAUGAGUUUAUGUUUGUAUUAUCCCCUUACUCCCAUCUUAAUGGGGUUUUCAGAGGAGAUGAUGUAAAUGAAUAAUCAG
rnacentral:lncRNA from 1 species